rnacentral:rRNA from 1 species
GACGAACGCUGGCGGCGUGCCUAACACAUGCAAGUCGAACGGAGAUAUGCGAACGAGGCCUUCGGGCGGAGAUUGCAUAUUUUAGUGGCGGACGGGCGAGUAACGCGUGAGCAACCUGCCCUUCAGAGGGGGAUAACGGCUGGAAACGGCCGCUAAUACCGCAUGACAUAUACACAAGGCGUCUUGAGUAUAUCAAAGGAGUAAUCCGCUGAAGGAUGGGCUCGCGUCCGAUUAGCUAGUUGGUGAGGUAAUGGCUCACCAAGGCGACGAUCGGUAGCCGAACUGAGAGGUUGAUCGGCCGCAUUGGGACUGAGACACGGCCCAGACUCCUACGGGAGGCAGCAGUGGGGGAUAUUGCACAAUGGAGGGAACUCUGAUGCAGCGACGCCGCGUGGGGGAAGAAGGUCUUCGGAUUGUAAACCUCAGUAGUCAGGGAAGAAAGAAAUGACGGUACCUGAAGAGUAAGCUCCGGCUAACUACGUGCCAGCAGCCGCGGUAAUACGUAGGGAGCGAGCGUUGCCCGGAAUUACUGGGUGUAAAGGGUGCGUAGGCGGGUCAGCAAGUCAGGCGUGAAAUACCGGGGCUCAACUCCGGGGCUGCGCUUGAAACUGUUGGUCUUGAGUGAAGUAGAGGCAGGCGGAAUUCCUAGUGUAGCGGUGAAAUGCGUAGAUAUUAGGAGGAACACCAGUGGCGAAGGCGGCCUGCUGGGCUUUAACUGACGCUGAUGCACGAAAGCAUGGGGAGCAAACAGG